rnacentral:rRNA from 1 species
GUGCCAGACUCCUACGGGAGGCAGCAGUGGGGGAUAUUGCACAAUGGGGGGAACCCUGAUGCAGCGACGCCGCGUGGGUGAAGGAGCGUUUCGGCGCGUAAAGCCCUAUCGGCAGGGAAGAAGGAGGACGGUACCUGGGGAGGAAGCUCCGGCUAAAUACGUGCCAGCAGCCGCGGUAAUACGUAGGGAGCGAGCGUUGUCCGGAAUUACUGGGUGUAAAGGGAGCGUAGGCGGGGAUGCAAGUUGGGUGUCAAAACUACCGGCUCAACUGGUAGUCGCACUCAAAACUGCAGCUCUUGAGUGAAGUAGAGGCAGGCGGAAUUCCUAGUGUAGCGGUGAAAUGCGUAGAUAUUAGGAGGAACACCAGUGGCGAAGGCGGCCUGCUGGGCUUUUACUGACGCUGAGGCUCGAAAGUGUGGGGAGCAAACAGGAUUAGAUACCCGCGUA